AUGAACGCUGGCGGCGUGCCUAAUACAUGCAAGUCGAGCGAACGGACGAGAAGCUUGCUUCUCUGAUGUUAGCGGCGGACGGGUGAGUAACACGUGGAUAACCUACCUAUAAGACUGGGAUAACUUCGGGAAACCGUAGCUAAUACCGGAUAAUAUUUUGAACCGCAUGGUUCAAAAGUGAAAGACGGUCUUGCUGUCACUUAUGGAUGGAUCCGCGCUGCAUUAGCUAGUUGGUAAGUUAACGGCUUACCAAGGCAACGAUGCAUAGCCGACCUGAGAGGGUGAUCGGCCACACUGGAACUGAGACACGGUCCAGACUCCUACGGGAGGCAGCAGUAGGGAAUCUUCCGCAAUGGGCGAAAGCCUGACGGAGCAACGCCGCGUGAGUGAUGAAGGUCUUCGGAUCGUAAAACUCUGUUAUUAGGGAAGAACAUAUGUGUAAGUAACUGUGCACAUCUUGACGGUACCUAAUCAGAAAGCCACGGCUAACUACGUG
rnacentral:rRNA from 1 species